rnacentral:rRNA from 1 species
CAGUCGCCACGGGAAUACGGAGGGCGCGAGCGUUACCCGGAUUUACUGGGCGUAAAGGGCGUGUAGGCGGCCUGGGGCGUCCCAUGUGAAAGGCCACGGCUCAACCGUGGAGGAGCGUGGGAUACGCUCAGGCUAGAGGGUGGGAGAGGGUGGUGGAAUUCCCGGAGUAGCGGUGAAAUGCGCAGAUACCGGGAGGAACGCCGAUGGCGAAGGCAGCCACCUGGUCCACUUCUGACGCUGAGGCGCGAAAGCGUGGGGAGCAAACCGGAUUAGAUACCCCCGUAGUCCCUGUCUCUUAUAC